CUACGGGUUGCACCAGUUAGGAAUCUUUUACAAUGCACGCAAGUGUGAUAAAGCGAACCAAAGUGCUUUUCUAUUUUUGAAAAGCUUUUGCUCACUCUAAAAAGGUGGGCGAAUAAGGACUGGGCAAGACUAGUGCCAGCCGCCGCGGUAAUACUAGCUGUUCAAGUCGCAGCCAUCUUUAUUGGGUCUAAAAAAUCCGUAGCUUGCUUAUUAAGUUUCCUGUGAAAUCCUGCGUCUUAAAUGCAGGGCGUGCAAGAAGUACUACUAAGCUAGAGACUGGAAGACGUAAGAAGUAUAUUCGAAGUAAUAGUAAAAUAUGUUAAUCUCGAACAGACUCACAACAGCGAAGGCAUCUUACGAGGACAGUUCUGACAGUAAAGGAUGAAGGCUAGGGGCGCAAAACGGAUUAGAUACCCCUGUAGUC
rnacentral:rRNA from 1 species